UUCUAGCACAUAUUCCUGCUCACCAUCUCAGGUCUCUGUCAUUGCCUCUCUCACAUUCUCCCUCUUUCCUGUGCUGUGCCAAUCCCAUGAGGAUACCCCCAAACACACACCUAUAUGCCUACAAACACACUCUCACUCUGGAUCUCUCUGUCUAUCUUCACCAGAUGGGGAUGUUUGAACAACUGCUGAUCAAGGAGCUGCAGAGGCAACAGCACAGAACCCAGUUCUGCGAUACUGUCCUACAGGCGCAGGGUGUUUCUGUGCCUGUCCACAGCUGUGUGUUGUCAGCCUUCAGCCCUCGGCUCUGCGAGUUUCUGUCCACUCUCCCAGCCCUCCCUGGCGGGAAGAGCAGAGUAAUCGAGCUCCAGGCUGUAGAGGCCUACACCCUACUCAGGCUGGUCAGUGCGCUGUACACAGGCACUGUGGAAGGAGAGAGGAGAGACCUGCAGAAGGCAGCUGACACACUGGGUAUCACCCUCCCACAGGAGACAGGGGAGACAGGAGAGGGGGAGUGGGAAGGAGGAGGGGAACCACUUAAGGACACGACCUUAAGAAGGAAAGGGGGCUCUGAAGAGGGUGUGGGAGGAAAAGGAACCGAUAGAAGAGUGUGUAAUGAUGCAGAGACCCAGACUGACGUGAUACUGACAAACGAAGGGAGACACAUGGCGGAGACAGACCUUGACACAGACACAGACACGCAAAGACACAUGGCGGAGACAGACCUUGACACCACUUCCUCCCAGGAUGCUCAGUUCAUGUGUGUGAGGCCGAACACGGUGGAGUUUCAAACGGUCGUGCCACAUGAGUCAGUUGGCCACAUGAGUCAGUUUCCGUGGGUUACAGAAGGAUGUCUUCAAACAUCUUCCGACGAGAAUCCUCUCAUGGCCCCCUCUGAUGAUGAUGUUUGCACUGCUGUGGUAAUACCGUCCACACUCGAUGAUGCCACAGUGUGUCAGCUGAUCAGUGAGGUGACUGUUGGGGCCCCCGGCGGCAGCUGCUCCUCCCUCCUCCCCCCUCCCCCAGAGGACCAGCCAAAAGAAAAGGAAAGGCUCCGCAUGAGUACGACGGAAGACGGUGGAGAAUUGGUCGAUGGUUUUGAGCAGUUUGAAGGAAACAUCCCAGAGUUCAUCAGCUACUUCCUGGAUUUGGCGGGGCCCAGGAGGGCGGGGCACCAGGUGCGGAGAAGCCCCAGAAGGAUGAAAAGAGAAGAGAAGAGAGGGAGUGAAAGAGCGAGGCGGCUGAGGGGAGGAAUGGGUAAAGAUGGUGAAGAGAGGCAGGGGACUGGGAAAGUGGCGUGUCGUUUUCCCCUGAGAGAAGGCCGUCCUGUGGUCCUCACCUGGAGGGGCCUCGGAGGGGGGCGGAUUGGAAGAUUGAUCCACCUGCCGCCCAGAAAGAAGGCCCGGUCCAGACCGUGU
rnacentral:lncRNA from 1 species